rnacentral:rRNA from 1 species
UACGUAGGGGGCUAGCGUUGUCCGGAUUUAUUGGGCGUAAAGAGCGUGUAGGCGGCCAGGUAGGUCUGCUGUGAAAACUCGAGGCUUAACCUCGAGAUGUCGGCGGAAACCAUCUGGCUAGAGUCCGGAAGAGGAGAGUGGAAUUCCGUGGUGUAGCGGUGAAAUGCGCAGAUAUCAGGAAGAACACCCGUGGCGAAAGCGGCUCUCUGGGAACGGUACUGACGCUGAGACGCGAAAGCGUGGGAGAAGCGGAAUCAGGAACCUUAGAAACCUCAGAUCAAG